UGGCUAACGAUGAUAAAACUCUAUAUCUUAGCGGAUUUCAGUGAGAUUUAUCAAUGAUCUGAAUAUUACGUACAUACACUGAAGCCU